rfam:Gossypium raimondii Chr02_contig_976, whole genome shotgun sequence.
AGCCCAUGAUGAGGACACUUACGAAGUAAAUCCUUGAAUCAUUUCCAAGCCUGAUAUAAAGACUCGUCAUCCAAUUGUUGGAAAGUUGUGAUCUCGUUCCUCAACUU